GUGCACCACUACUCCCAGCUAAUUUUUUAUUUUUAGUAGAUACAGGGUUUCACUUAUUGUCCAGGAUGGUCUCCAUCUCUUCGCCUUGUGAUCCACCCGCCUCGGCCUCCCAAAGUGUUGGAAUUACGGCGUGAGCCACCGCGCCCAGCCGAGGGACACCUCUUUCAAAAUAAAAGAAAGGGGCCGAGUGCGGUGGCUCACGCCUGUAAUCCCAACACUUCAGGAGGUGGUGGCGGGUGGAUCACUUGAGGUCAAGAGUUCAAGACAAGCCUGGGCGUGGUGGCGCCCGCCUGUAAUCCCAGCUACUCGGGAGGCUGAAGCAGGAGAAUCGCUUGAACCCGGGAGGCAGAGGUUGCAGUGAGCCGAGAUCGUGCCACUGCAACCUGCCUGCCAACAGAGCGAGACUGUCUCAAAAAAAUAUCUAAAUAUCCCUCUAGGAGACUUUGUCUUGGCCUUUUCUUCAUUCCAGCAGUGUUCACAUUGUGUACUGACUUUCGCUUGCUCAUCUGUCUUCUCGGAGGUCGGGGACCCUGUGUGUCUGCUCACCGUCUAACCCCAGGUUAGCCUGUGGCUGAUGCUCACUAAUCAUUUGGCAGAAGGAAGGAACGAGGCGAGGGAGCUGUGGGAGGAGGCGCUGCCCAGCGAGCCGAGCGCCGAGGGCGGGGCGCACGGGGAGGGCGGGGCCCACGCCGAGGGCGGGAGCUCUGCUCAGGCUUCGGUAAGGUCGUGUCAGCUGACUUGGCUUAUGGUAACCGAAUUUUUCACCUCCAUGGUUUCCCCAGGAUAUGAAUUGGGGGCUUAACCUCACCGACAAGGGUCAGGUGAGCUUUCUGGAUGCCGAGGCACCUUUCAGCCUGCGCCGCCUGAGGAGCUCGUCCCACUGCCCUGCCAUUUCUGUGAGGACCCACAAAGCCCGGGAGGAGCCUCGGAGCCCCCGCGGGUCCUCCCGCCACUGCCUAGAGAGGGUGCUCGGAGCACUGCUCAGGAACUGGUCCCCAGCGAGGUGUCGAACCCCUCCUUGCUGGAACUCCACGGAGAGAGUGGACCCAUAUCCUGGAUGUGGACACCCACAGUCCUGCUAGGACGUGCUUCCAGAAGAAUUGAUCCCAGCCAUGAAACUGCCGGAUGCCUUCAGUGAAGCAAGCAGGAAAGGCUCAAGUGAUCCUCCUGUAUCACUCUUGUGAGUAGCCAGUAGCUGGGACCACAGAUACACACCACCACACCUGCCUAAUUUUUUUUUUUUUUUUUGUAGAGACGGGUUUCGUCAUGUUGCCCAGGCUGGUCUGGAACUCCCGACCAAUGCACCUGCCUCAGUCUCCCAAAGUGCUAGGAUUACAGGUGUGAGCCAAUUUGUGAUCUUUUAUGCAUUCUUUAAUGUAGUAUGUUUUCAAGCUUCAUCCAACUUGGAGAGUAUUAAUGCUGAAUAAUAUCCCAUUGUGUAGCUUUUUUUUUUUUUUUUUUUUUUUUUUUUGAGAGAAGACUCGCACUGUCGCCCAGGCUGUAGUACAGUGGUGCGAUCUUGGCUCACUGCAGCGUCUGCCUCCUGAGUUCAAGCAAUUCUCCUGCCUCCGCCUCCCGAGUACUGGGACUACAGGCGUGCGCCA
rnacentral:lncRNA from 1 species